AUUGAACGCUGGCGGCAGGCCUAACACAUGCAAGUCGAGCGGAUGAAGGGAGCUUGCUCCUGGAUUCAGCGGCGGACGGGUGAGUAAUGCCUAGGAAUCUGCCUGGUAGUGGGGGAUAACGUCCGGAAACGGGCGCUAAUACCGUAUACGUCCUGAGGGAGAAAGUGGGGGAUCUUCGGACCUCACGCUAUCAGAUGAGCCUAGGUCGGAUUAGCUAGUUGGUGGGGUAAAGGCCUACCAAGGCGACGAUCCGUAACUGGUCUGAGAGGAUGAUCAGUCACACUGGAACUGAGACACGGCCCAGACUCCUACGGGAGGCAGCAGUGGGGAAUAUUGGACAAUGGGCGAAAGCCUGAUCCAGCCAUGCCGCGUGUGUGAAGAAGGUCUUCGGAUUGUAAAGCACUUUAAGUUGGGAGGAAGGGCAGUAAGUUAAUACCUUGCCGUUUUGACGUUACCAACAGAAUAAGCACCGGCUAACUUCGUG
rnacentral:rRNA from 1 species